AACGAACGCUGGCGGCGUGCCUAACACAUGCAAGUCGAGCGAGAAAGGGGGAGCAAUCCCCUGAGUACAGCGGCGCACGGGUGAGUAACACGUAGGUGAUCUCCCCUCGAGCCCGGAAUAACCUACCGAAAGGUGGGCUAAUACCGGAUAUGACCACGGGAGUUUCGGCUCCUGUGGUGAAAGAUGGCCUCUACCUGUAAGCUAUCACUCAAGGAUGAGCCUGCGUGCCAUUACUAGUUGGUGAGGUAAUGGCUCACCAAGGCUAUGACGGGUAGCUGGUCUGAGAGGAUGGCCAGCCACAUUGGGACUGAGACACGGCCCAGACUCCGUACGGGAGCAGCAGUGGGAAUAUUGCGCAAUGGGACGAAAGCCUGACGCAGCGACGCCGCGUGUGGGAUGACGG
rnacentral:rRNA from 1 species